rnacentral:lncRNA from 1 species
AAAGGUUUAAUGUUCAAGUGGAGGAACCAAAAACGUUCAAAAACUACAUCAAAGACAUAAAAACAUUGUUCAAAUACAUAGGUAUUCCAUGAAAACAACUACCUAACUGUCUCAACCAUACCAUCUAUAUUAUCCAAAUUCUCAAGGCUAUAAAUGACUUUCUUGAAUAUUUUUUUAUUUUUUAAGAUUUGAGACUUUUUUUUGUGGAUUUUUUGUAUGGCCACACUUCUUUCUUCCUCUUCAGUAAUUAUGUACUAACAACAAAAUAAUAAUAAAAAAACUAUUCAAACAAAGCAACAACAACUAUGAUCCAAUUUUUUAAGCACAUUCUACUUUUCUAGUAUUAACUAAAAAUUUUCAGACAAAUACUAAGAAUAACAUGAUAAUAGAUCUAGAUCAUGGCAAUACCAUAAGAAUUUUGCAUCAUCAAAAUAAUAUUAGUAAUGUGAUUUUAUAUAAUAAUAUGAGUAUAAUUAUUUGCAAUAUUUAAAAUUCAAUAAUUAUAUAAAAUAGAAAUCAUUAACCAUUUCACAAGUCUUUAUAAUUUCAAAGUACAAUGGUGUAAUAGCAAGAACUUAAAGUAGGAUGCUACAAUGAACAAAUAAGUGAAAAUACAUUGUUAUUUCUUGCAUUCAACCCUUUCAUUUAUUAUGAUAAACAUUAAAUUGUAGAUUUCAAGUAAUGGCAAGAGAGAUGCAACAAGCAUUGUAUAAAAUGGGAUUUCCAUUAACAAAAAAAACAAUUAUGAAAGUAGGAUGCUACAGUAAACUAAUAAAUGUAAGUAUAUUACUAUGUUUGAUACUUUCAUCCUUUAUUUUAGUGGAUUCAAAUUUUUAUAGAAUGAUUUUUAAAUAAAUCAAAUCACGAUUCAAUAUGAUUUUCAAGGUUAUUAUAAGGUAUAGUUCCUUUCAUGUUAAUAGUAUAUUUGUUAGUAGUAAUCCCAUCAAUUAUCUGUAUAUUAUCAUGUUAUCUUCACCUUGAACUAUAACAUAAUGGUAUUUUAGUUUCUAAAUGUAUCUAGCACUCAUUAAAUCUAUAAUCACAAAUUUCUAUCUUAACAUUUUAACUAAAUUUAUGAUACACGAUCUAUUUGACCUCUACAUCAAUACACUUUGUAUUCCAUAUUAAGAUGGUAUCUGACAUUUUUAUAAAAAAUUAAUUUCAAGGAAAAACCAAUGGUUGUUUUCAUAAGAAACUACAUCAGUACUUAUCAUAUAUAUAAACAAAUGAAAAGAAAACCAAAAUCUUUAAGAAUUCAAAAUUUCCAUAUGUUGUUUCUUUGAGACAUUAUAUCGAACAACUGAUAAGCAUCAUUAUAUUAAGCUUCAGUUUGAUGCAUUUAUCUAACUUCUUUAUCCAGAAAGUUGUUCAAAACACAAAAACUUAAAAGAAUUGAUAUGAAUUUCAUAAAUAUUAAAUAUUAAAUCAACAAGAAGAUGGGUUCAAAUUGUUACACCCUGGUUUUACCAACAUAUCACAUUACAAACUCAAAAAAUUGAACUAAUAAAACAUAAGCACAAUAAUAGAGUUUUGUUACCUGCUCUCAUGAUAAAUUUGUAUGUUAAAUCCAAUCUUAAAUAGUAUUAUUCACUCUUGGAUGAACGAUUGCAAAUUUGUAAACUUUAUUAGGGUUUUGAUGCAGCUUUGGAUGGACAGUCGAACCAAAAUAAAGCUAAACCAUGGAGAUUCAAAGGCGAUUUUAAGAAUCUACAUAGAUUUCUGAAGCGAUUGAUGCUUGAAUGAUGAUCGAGAAUGGAGAAUGGAGAAGAAGAGAGUAGAACGAAGGAUUUUCAGCUUGAAUGUAGAUGGAAAC